ACAAAUAGGUGUAUUAGCACAUUGGCCUUUGGAGCCAAAGGGAUUAAUAUAUUUGU
rnacentral:tRNA from 1 species